rnacentral:rRNA from 1 species
AACGAACGCUGGCGGCAUGCCUAACACAUGCAAGUCGAACGAGACCUUCGGGUCUAGUGGCGCACGGGUGCGUAACGCGUGGGAACCUGCCCUUAGGUUCGGAAUAACUCCCCGAAAGGGGUGCUAAUACCGGAUAAUGUCUUCGGACCAAAGAUUUAUCGCCUUUGGAUGGGCCCGCGUUGGAUUAGCUAGUUGGUAGGGUAAAGGCCUACCAAGGCGACGAUCCAUAGCUGGUCUGAGAGGAUGAACAGCCACACUGGGACUGAGACACGGCCCAGACUCCUACGGGAGGCAGCAGUGGGGAAUAUUGGACAAUGGGCGAAAGCCUGAUCCAGCAAUGCCGCGUGAGUGAUGAAGGCCUUAGGGUUGUAAAGCUCUAUUACCCGGGAUGAUAAUGACAGUACCGGGAGAAUAAGCUCCGGCUAACUCCGUG